rnacentral:rRNA from 1 species
UACGGCGGAACACGAGAAAUUCCGUCGGAAUCCGCGGGGACCAUCCCGCAAGGCUAAAUACUCCCUAGUGACCGAUAGUGAACCAGUACCGUGAGGGAAAGGUGAAAAGCACCCCGGAAGGGGAGUGAAAUAGAUCCUGAAACCGUGUGCCUACAACAAGUCAAAGCUCGUUAAUGAGUGAUGGCGUGCCUUUUGUAGAAUGAACCGGCGAGUUACGAUUGCAUGCGAGGUUAAGUCGAAGAGACGGAGCCGCAGCGAAAGCGAGUCUGAAUAGGGCGAAUGAGUAUGUAGUCGUAGACCCGAAACCAUGUGAUCUACCCAUGUCCAGGUUGAAGGUGCGGUAAAACGCACUGGAGGACCGAACCCACGUACGUUGAAAAGUGCGGGGAUGAGGUGUGGGUAGCGGAGAAAUUCCAAACGAACUUGGAGAUAGCUGGUUCUCUCCGAAAUAGCUUUAGGGCUAGCCUCGGAAUUGAGAAUGAUGGAGGUAGAGCACUGUUUGGACUAGGGGCCCAUCUCGGGUUACCGAAUUCAGAUAAACUCCGAAUGCCAUUCAUUUAUAUCCGGGAGUCAGACUGCGAGUGAUAAGAUCCGUAGUCGAAAGGGAAACAGCCCAGACCACCAGCUAAGGUCCCAAAAUAUAUGUUAAGUGGAAAAGGAUGUGGGGUUGCACAGACAACUAGGAUGUUGGCUUAGAAGCAGCCACCAUUUAAAGAGUGCGUAAUAGCUCACUAGUCGAGUGACCCUGCGCCGAAAAUGUACCGGGGCUAAACAUAUUACCGAAGCUGUGGACUACACCAUUAGGUGUAGUGGUAGGAGAGCGUUCUAAGGGCGUUGAAGGUCGAUCGUGAGGACGGCUGGAGCGCUUAGAAGUGAGAAUGCCGGUAUGAGUAGCGAAAGACAGGUGAGAAUCCUGUCCACCGUAUGACUAAGGUUUCCUGGGGAAGGCUCGUCCGCCCAGGGUUAGUCGGGACCUAAGCCGAGGCCGAUAGGCGUAGGCGAUGGACAACAGGUUGAUAUUCCUGUACCAGUUGUUUUUGUUUGAGCAAUGGAGGGACGCAGUAGGCUAAGGAAUGCAUGCGAUUGGAAGUGCAUGUCCAAGCAAUGAGUCUUGAG